rnacentral:sRNA from 1 species
CCUUGAGCAUGGACAGCCUGGAUCUGCUGGGUGAAGGGAGAAGUUAUGUCCAGGGUGGGACAGAGAGGAUGGCGAGAGAUUUCCUCACUACUCAGAACAGCGGGAAAUUCAAAACUUAGGGAUUAUUUCUGAAAUUUUCCAUUUAAAAUUGACCAAGUGUAACUGAAACCAGAGAAAGCAAGACUGACGAUAAGGGAGGGGCCUCCUGUACUCCAAGAGCACUGAAUCUGGAAAAACUCAACACAUCGAUGGAGUCAUAUAUUUAAUUUUUUCUUAAAAGCCACCUGUGGGGUAUUGUAGAAACGCUGCGCUGCCUAUCACAGCUUGUGAUGUGACACGUUCAUUCUGCAAGUUUAAACUUCGCCUAGCAAAUCUUUAUGAGCAUCUACUAUGCAUCAUGCUGUUCUCGUGAACAAAACAAGAUCCAUAUCCUAAGGGAGUGUGCCUUCCAGCAGAGAAAGACGGCAAUGUGUAAGGAGCGUCAGAAGAAGAUGUUGUCUUUUGUGUGUAGAAAGUGGUAUGUAAAAGUGAAAAAUAAAAAGAAAUAGAGCAGAAUCAGGGA